CUGGAACCUGUGUUCUGCUGAAGGCGGGGGAAGCAUUCAGAGGUGGCAGCGUCUGCAGAGAGAGCUCUUUCAGAACUGAGCAACUCCCUCCCACCAAACUCAAGGUGCUGAUUUCUUAAAACAAGAAAAGAAAAAAAAACAAAAACAACCUGCCAAUGGCUCUGCUCUGUGGAUCAGGACAUCCCCACAGCCACAGAGAUACCCAGACACAGGAUUCAGUCAACCCUGUGGACAGCAGAGUGGAGACAGCGAGAAUCUGCUUCCCUGAGGACAUUUUUGAGACUGUGAAGCAGCCACCUGGAAGCUUAUACCACCUCUGGACUGCAUCUUCUGGGAGCAUUUCCGUACCUUUCAUGAUC